rnacentral:rRNA from 1 species
AUUGAACGCUGGCGGCAUGCCUUACACAUGCAAGUCGAACGGCAGCACGGGUGCUUGCCCCUGGUGGCGAGUGGCGAACGGGUGAGUAAUACAUCGGAACAUGUCCUGUAGUGGGGGAUAGCCCGGCGAAAGCCGGAUUAAUACCGCAUACGAUCUACGGAUGAAAGCGGGGGACCUUCGGGCCUCGCGCUAUCGGGUUGGCCGAUGGUUGAUUAGCUAGUUGGUGGGGUAAAGGCCUACCAAGGCGACGAUCAGUAGCUGGUCUGAGAGGACGACCAGCCACACUGGGACUGAGACACGGCCCAGACUCCUACGGGAGGCAGCAGUGGGGAAUUUUGGACAAUGGGCGAAAGCCUGAUCCAGCAAUGCCGCGUGUGUGAAGAAGGCCUUCGGGUUGUAAAGCACUUUUGUCCGGAAAGAAAUCCUUGGCCCUAAUACGGUCGGGGGAUGACGGUACCGGAAGAAUAAGCACCGGCUAACUACGUG